rnacentral:rRNA from 1 species
GGUCUCGAGACGCGGUCAGCCUCUAGGGGUUAGUACUGUCGGAUUGGGACCAUCCUCGAGAAGAGCAUAUCUGUCAUUGAGUUGAUGGGUAUGGGACUCUCGUCAUUUACUGUGAGCAAAAUAGAGUGUUCAAAGCAGGCUUACGCCGUUGAAUACAUUAGCAUGGAAUAAUAAGAUAGGACCUUGGUCUAUUUUGUUGGUUAGUUCUCCAAGGUA